GACAGUAUCUCUCGGGGCUCUGUCCAGGGGGGUUCCUGACCCCUGCCAGGGUCCCAGACCUGCCAGGGCAGCCAGAGGGAAGCCCUGGAUUCUGACAACUUUAGGAGUGAGAACAGCCUGGGUUGUCAACAGAGGGCUGUUCAGAGAGACAGACAGGAGAGUGAAAGAAGGCUGGCUAUUGUUCAAGAUGUGGUGUAGGCUGCAAGAAUGCCUUGAGAAUGCAGCGCCCACAUGUCAGGCAGAGAGAGAGGGCUUUGUGUGAGAACUCUUAGGCAGAAUGUCAAUCAUGUGAAUAACCUCUAUCUCGUUUUUUUAUCUUUGUCCUUGUUAUGACACUUCCCUGCCUGGAGUCCACAAGGAUAGGUGUCAAUUUCAUGGAACAUGCUGGUGUCUAAUCCAAGCUGUCCAGGUAGCGCAUUCAGGGAACUGACCUGCCAUGAGGUGAGAAAGAGUGUUGGAAGCAUCCCACCUUUUCUGUGUGCUCUGCUUUGUGCCACUCUGACACAGCCUUCAGCAUCCUUUAUGAACAGGAAUCUGGACCCACCAACCCAUGGACUCAAGAAAAGAAGUACGAGGAAGAGCUAAAUGAAAAUCCUCUUCUUGCUCAGAAGACAUUCUGCCUUCCCAUUCCUGCUCCCUCACUUCCAUCAGACAAUGACCUUUCAUGGAGCUUAAUCCCUGCUAGCACCACCCUCAUCCCACAUUCCUCCCUUGUUCUUCAUUAAGCUCCACUUCAUGUAUUUCCAGUCACUUUUGACUGGAAAUGUCACACUCCCAACUGCCAGAAAUGCUCCCAGUCCUUUACUCUGCUGGCCUCAGCUGCUGCAUGGUCCAGCUCCCCCUCAGUUACUAUUCCACACUGGAGAAAGGCUGGAACUAGCAGGAAGUUCCAACAACAGCAGGAACACCCAGGGCCAGGAAGUGGAGGCUGGAAGGGCUGAGCUGAGUCAGAGGUUCCCCACCCCUAAAUCCGUCUCAGUCCUGAUUAAGUUCUCUACCUCCUCCUUGCCACAGACUGCUCCCAUGGAUGCUCUCAAAUCCAGAAUUCCCCACUGUCCAAUGGGGAACUGCACUUUGUAAGGAACUCACCAUCCAGAAGAGCUCAACUCCCAGCUGGGCAUCCUUAUAAUGACCAGACUUUCAGAAGUGUUCAGCAUUUUGCAAUUAUUUGCCAUAUCAUCUCUUGAAAAGUUUGGUUACAGUAGCCAGAAAGACAAAAACUUUAUGAAAGGAGUAAAUGUAGGAAGAACUUGUUCACAAAUUCACUCUCCUGUCCUAAAGUCCAGUUCCCAGGUGUGCUGCAAGAUCCUAUUAAAAAUCUCUGAUGAUUAAUAAAACUUUUUAAAACAUUCCUAUGCACUUUACAUAGGUAUUUUUUCUUUAAUUUACUAUGCCCCUCGUUUGCUAUUUGUGCUUUAAAAAGUAGUAUCUGGAUUCAAAGGGAUCGUCUUUGAUCCUUGCACUGGCUUUGUGGUUAUCUUCAUUCUUAUACUCCAGAUCAUGGCAAGUCCCUGCAGGCUCCCUUCUUUAUCCUCCCUCAAUUUUCAUUCCUCUCUAGAGUUGGACUAUUUUUUAUGCAGGUUAUCCUCAAAGUGGAAAUUUCAGCCGAGUUCCAUGAGCUCAGCACAUUUUACAUUUCUGCUUCCUUGACCUGCAUCACUUGGGUGGGGCUGGACCGAGGCUCACCAGGAGAAACUUCCCCACCAACAGUUGUGGCUGCUGGGAACUGGGGCAGGGACUGAGCCUCACAGGACCUGGCAGCACUGCCUCUAAACCCCCUGGGUGAGGGAAACCUUCAGACACACCUCUCAGGACUCUUUUAACCUUUUAGCACCCCUAGAAGGAUGCUCCAACCAGGGGUUGUGCUGCAUUUCAGAUGCAGCUGGGUGGUGUGUAUACAUCUCUUGACGCAAAGAGGCUGCUGUAGAACGACUGUUCUAAAAUGUUGCUGGCAAAUUGUUGUUAACAUGAACAAGAGAAACAAGAGUGCUGAGAGCUCUGGGUAUUAUUGAAAUAUUUAAAUAUUAUGUAUGAUGAUGCCUCUAAUUCAACAUUUUCUGUGGUAAACACAGCAGAAAUCACUGUAGCAAAAUGUUAUUCCUUAUUCUAAACCAAAUUCUUGAGGUUUGUUUUAUUUAUAUCACAUGUGGCUGAGAGAAAUAGUUCUAGGAAGGCUCAAACCUUAUAUUUUCUUUUCAAGUUGCCAAAAUAUCUUAGAGAAAUCAAUUGCCAAGGACUUGUCUGUGCAGCUAAAGAUUUAUUUUUAACCUCUUGGUGUGCCAAAAUCAGGAACAAUUAUUAAUCUGUCCUGAAAUUGCCAAUACAACCUGCUAGCAACAGAUGGUGUGAUUGAAAAGCCUGAAGUGGCCAUUUUUAAUAUUCAGUAGAUUGAAAAAAUCUUAGGUCUCUAAUCUUAUCUAACCUCUUGUGACCAAGGGCCCACGUUAUUGACUAAAAGACAAUAUCAAUAGCCUUGAUUUGAGCCUGAAUCAGCCAGGGAACUGGAUCUUCUGAGGCACUUUGUACCUCUAAGUGGUGCUUUGUGUUCCCAUCUCUGCUGGCCUUGGUGGGAGAGGAGCACUGAGGGUUACCCUUUGGAAACUUAAAAGUCAGAGCACCCAGUGCUGCAGGUAUGGCUGCACUCCAGGGGUCCUUGUUUAGGUCUGAACUUGUAUGGUACUUAAGAACAGCUCCUGUCAAUGCCAAGGGAUGCAGAAGGAUUACAUUACUAGAUAUUAUCUCGGGCUUGAUGUAUUUAUACAUCUCAAUUACAAAAUCAGGAAGUGUUGCCAGCCAUCCUUUGGAUAUAGCUGGCACAAACACACGCACACACACACACACACACACACAGAGCGAGUGAAAGAAAUAAAAAUAAUGCCAUACUGUGAGCCUGCUUGAGGUUUUGAUUAGUUAAGGAUUGUGGAAAUCUGAUUCUUGCAGCCUGUGGUGACACUGUGCUGCUGGGGAAACUGGGUUUUGUCCCGGGUGUCACUGCUGGGGAAGGCAGGAGUGCAGGAUCCCACAGCUGAUCAGGAAAGGUGGAUCCCAACUCCAGACUCACUCACCCCACCCAGGAGAAAAGCUGAUUCUGAAUCCCAGGUUUGGGAUUGCUCAUUGUUUCCUGUAAUAUCUCUGCAUCCCUGAUUUAUUUUGUGAGCAACAAAGGCAAGGGGGACCUAAACCACAACAGCAGACACUGUAUGAGGUAGCGCAGGUGAGAAACAGCCACAAUUCCCCAGGUAAGGUAUCCUGUAUUUGCUGAGCAAAAGCAGCAGAUGUGGCAGCAGGACAAACGUUGCACGUUUGACUCCGAGGCAGACAAAUCCUCCUGUAAACCGAGCGCUGCAAUUUGAGAAGCCUCUCUCUAUUUUUAAUGAUAGAUUUUUAAAAACUAUCUUUAUUGAUAGUUGUGGGCACAGACCCCGUAUCCUGGCGGGUCAGCAGCUCCUCAGCCACAAAGCCCAGCUCUGGUCCAGGCCUCCCUCCUGUCCUGUCCUGUCCUGUCCCUCGGCCCCUUCCCGCCCACGUGAAACCACUGAGCACGGUCAGGCAGUCCCCUGACAAUUGGGGAUGUGGGAAAGCUCUUCCCGGGCAAGCAGCAGCCUUUCCUGAGCUCAGGCUGGGGAGGAAAGGCUGCUGCACAAGGGGAGAGUGAUGGCAGUGCAUCUCAGCUUCCUGAUGAAGGGAAAACGAGCUCUCCCCUCUGCGAUUUUCUCUGGAGGCUGUGAGAGUGAGGGAGAAAAAGAAUGAAAGAUGAGAAAAUAGCCACCUAGAGGGAUGUAACCUUAAUUUUGCACAUUAGCACACUGAUGGCAGGUACUGCUGUGGAAUGGAAGGUGCUGGGCAACACCAGGAAAGAUAAAUUUCAGUAUUAAGUGAUCUUGUUCAGCAUGAUUUAGUGUGCCCAACAAAGCGAGACAAACACCUAAAGAACAAGGGCAUAGCUAAAUCCCUCAAGGAUUUCUGCUGGAAAGAAGCGGGGCCUGGGACGCCUAAUGGUCUCAGUAGAUAUCAGCAAAGUAUUGAAAUUCUUCAUUUCUACUUGUGGAUGUGACACGGAACCCCUUCCUAGCUUUGGAUACAUCUUGCACCGAGAUUGCAUUCAGUUGUCUGAAAAUGGGAUUAUGAAGUGAUUAUUCAUGUCUGUAAUAUUGUUUCAAAACAGAAAAAAAUAUUAAAAUGCCUUCCUGUGACAGCAAAUUUCUGCCAGCUCUGACAUGUGUUCUUAAAUGUUAAUUUCGUACUAUCAGGCCAUGUUUUUUCUCGUGAUUGUGUUGAAAGUCUCUUUGUCUCCCUGGUUUCUAGGAGAAUUUCUGCACUAUUAGCAGUGAAUUAACUCUGAAUAUCAGAAUAUAUAACUCUGAAUAUGUCCACAAUACAUGGGUUUCCUUAAUGUGAAAAUAUUUUGCAUCCUUGCAGAAAUACCUUCAGCACUUCUGUGAGGGAUAUGGUCUGCAAAGCACAACCAGCCCUUGUAAUCACACUACCACAAUUCAGAAAAAUAAAUGAGGGGUCUAAGAAAUGAUGUGCGAUCUUUUUAGUAAUGGAAAUAAUUUUUUUUAAACUUUCUAUGUGAGUGCAUUAUUGUUCUCAUUCUUACAUCUGUCAUGGGUGGUGGAAAAAUGUACAGCUGUUUAGCUUUAUAAUAUCACAGGAAACAGUCCAGAUUUCUGCUCUGCCUCACUUGAAGACUCUCUUUUAGGUUGUUUUGUGUUGUUUGUUCUCAGAGAAGAGAGCUUGCCAUUUGAUAUUAACAUUAACAGAAAAGUCCUGAACCAAAUAAGCUCUUAGAGCUCAGGGGGAACAUCUCCAAAUUUUUCUGCUGUCUAGAUGGACUAAUCACACACUGCAAAAACAGAGAAAAAGCCAGGGAACUGGAAAUUAUAUCUUCAGGGCUGUUUUUUUUAAUCAUGUUUCAAUCCACUUUUAAAUUUUUUUCCUUUUUUUUUUUUUUUUUUUUUUUAAUUACUGUUUAAAUAACAACAACAAAGUAUUUCCUUUUUCUUUCCUGUAUAGGGAAUCAUGAAAGAUACAGAUUAUAUGGAACAGCCAAGGCUGGGGAAGAAGGGAAGGUCAUCACUUUACAGGACUGAAUCCUAAGUACCACCAGAAUUUCUGACAACACAUAAAAUAAAGAAAAGCCUGCAAUAACUAAACUUCCUUUUUUGAAUGGGUGCCUGGUACUGGAAGGUACCAUUGACAAGAAAGGCAUCUAAGGACACUUAGCAGCAGCCAGAUAAUAUUCAGUAUCUUCCAAGAUCCAAUGCCUCAGCCCACAGGAGCAGAGAUGCAGGGGAUUUUUAGCAUCCAAAAAAAGAAAGGUGAAGGGUUCAUCUCGGUCCUAGGUGGUAUUUGAAGGCUGGUGUUAGUUAAGGCAUGCCCAGCACUGCUGCCAGCAGCUUACAAACCAUUUUCUUUUGACUUUUCCUGUCUGAAAGACAAGAGCUGGGAUUAGGGUGAGCGCAGAGCAAGCCUCAGGCUCACCCCUCAUUCUUUUCAUCAUCAGAUCAGACCAUUUGGAUUCUCUAUACAGCUGGAAAACAAACUCUUCCACACUCCAGCUCAUGUAAAUUCCUCUGUAAUUCUCUUGAUACAGUUUUUGAGAAAACCUUUGUGUGCACCACACAGCCCAUUGCAGAUCCAAGUAUCCACCCUACUGGAGUGAAUCUCAUGUAGGUUCCAAUUUUCCAUUGGAUGGAAAAGCACUGUAGUGGAGUUGAAACACUUCAUUUUUAAUAGCUAGGGAAGUAACCAGUGGCUGGGUAAUAAGUCCUAUCACACAGGCACAUCCCUGGAAAAAUCCACUCUAUUUUUACUAGGGGACCCUCCGCCAUCAAUUUGCUGUCUGACUCAAGUUCCUUAAUUCUCCCUGCAAGUCAAGUGAGAAUACUGUCCUUUUUGGGAUCAUUGUUCAUUUAUUUCAGCAAUAUGUACUAUGAUGAGUAUUAAUAAGCUUGUCUCCAACUGACCAAAAAAUUACUUCUUUAGUUUUUAUCAGUGAAAUAUGGUCAUACAAAAAUUUACUUCUCUGGCAUACUCCCCACUUACCAUAAUGAGGAAGUAUAUCUGAAGAAAUAUAUGGUUAGAAAUAAUGCUUUUAUGUUUUCAAUAUUUUGUUAUUUUUGCCUCAAAUCACAGCUCAGUUCAGUGUGAUCUGACAUGGUUGAAAUACUGAAACCCCCACUCCUCCAAAGCAGUGUUUAUUAUAGAAACCACAAACUUAACCUAACCUAGAGCAGCUUUUCCAGCAGUGAUAUAAUUACAGUAGUUAUUGUUGCAAUAAACCAGAUGUUCCUGAGCUGGAAUGAAAGAACUUCCCCCCCCACAUUGCAUUUGUUAUGUUGCCUCUUUUCAAGUUUCACAUCAGCUGUUCGGAAAGCACUCUCUCCAUUGAGUGUCACUUACAGAUUCUUGCUGGGUGAGCCUUUUAGGGCAAAAGAAUGAAAUGCUGGCCAGGUUCUGAAUGUUCACUGCUCCAACAUGACAGUUUUCAGUGUCACUAAUUCUUGCCCUGGCUUAAAGAUUUAUAUUUUUUGUCCUUUAAGACACUUGGCUGAAAAAACCAAAAAAACCAACACUUUGGAAAACUGCUUAUUGAAUGAGUACAUUGUUCUGUGUGAAAAGGAGUGAUCCACUCCUACAGAAUCAAUGGAGUUUGGCACAGACUUCAGUGGAGCCACAAUUUUAGUCAUUAUUUUGAGCAAUUUAGUUAUUAGGCAACAUCUUUUGAACUGCUUUGUCAGCUGUGGUUGCAACUCCGGACCAUGAACAACCGUUCAACCUGAACCAUGAAUAUCCAGCAUUGCUCGAACAUUACACAUCUUGUGUUUUUUUACAAUGUGUUAAUCAACACAUUUCUAAUAUUUCCCAGCCCAAUCAAGUCCUAACUGCAAAAAUGUGUUGCAAAUAAAAAAUUGGACUGUGUUUAAACUGCUAGGAUCUUAGACAUGAAAGUUGUUGUGUAUAUUUCAUGCGUGCAAGAAACCUGUCUAGGAACAACCACCACGAAGAGUCAAGAAGUCAGGAGAUUGCUUUAUUGCACUUAUAGAGCCAUAUAAUAAUACAAUAAAGAAACACAAACUGAGCUUGGGGUUUUGUUUAUUCAUAGGUAAGGUUUACUCUCAUGAAAAUACAGGAACAGUAAGAAUUAAUUAUCUUAUCAACUAUCUGAACAAGUCACGGCAAUCCUGGAAGAAACCUUUGUAAUCCUCAGGUACACGUGCUGAUCUUUUUUCUGCUCACUCAUGGUAAACUACUAGUCAGCCCAUCCCCGUGGCAACUGCAAUGUGAUGAGGGA